AAUGGAAGAUUCAUGAAGAGAAGACACGUGAUUUUUGCUUUAAUGGCGGAUUUGUGAAGAGAAAACGCGUGUUUUUCGCUUAAAUGGGGGAUUUCUGAAGAGAAAACGCGUGAUUUUCGGGUUAAAUGGAAGAUUCCUGAAGAGAAAACGCGUGAUUUUCGCUUAAAUGGGGGAUUUGUGAAGAGAAAACUUGUGUUUUUCGCUUAAAUGGGGGAUUUGCAAAUUGAAAAUGUGCGAUUAUCGGGUAAAUGGGGGAUUUUCGAAGAGAAAACACGUGUUUUCCACAUAAAUGGGGGAUUUGCGAAGAGAAAACACGUGUUUUUCGCUUAAAUGGGGGAUUUGCGAAGAGAAAACGCGUGGUUUUCGGGUUAAAUGGAAGAUUCCUGAAGAGAAAACGCGUGAUUUUCGGGUUAAAUGGCGGAUUUGUGAAGAGAAAACGAGUGUUUUUCGCUUAAACGGGGAAUUUGUGAAGAGAAAACGCGUGAUUUUCGGUUAACUGGGAAAUUUUCGAAGAGAAAACACGUGUUUUCCACAUAAAUGGGGGAUUUGCGAAGAGAAAACACGUGAUUUUCAGGUUUAAUGGAAGAUUCAUGAAGAGAAAACGCGUGAUUUUCAAGUUAAAUGGGGGAUGUCCGAAGAGAAAACGCGUGAUUUUCGCUGAAAUGGGGUAUUUGAGAAGAGAAAAUUUGUG
ensembl:lncRNA